rnacentral:ncRNA from 1 species
AUUCCUACAGUUACUGCUGGCCCACAAAUUUCUUAUAAUGAUAAGCAGUACA